rnacentral:lncRNA from 1 species
GGACCACUUCUUUUCUUAUGAGCCGAAAGUUUGUUUGCGGAGUUCCUAAAUCCUGACAGGAAUUGUAAUGUGAGUUUCAACUCAAAUCUUAGGUUUAAUCCAAUCACUCCGGGCCUCUAUACUGAACUUAGAAGAUUGCGGAGGCCGAGGGACGUGAUCGGGUCAAAUGGGAGCUGCGAUUUGCCUAUUUUUCACUGGGGAAUGGGGAUUUGGACCGCUGCGACGGGGGAUUUGCGCCAGAUUUGUAUGUGGGCCUUAUAUAGUAAGUUGGCCGAAAGCUGCCGAACAUGUACAAUAACAUUUAACUGAUAUCUGAUCUUAAUUUAUAGAGGGUAUCUGUCCUUAUGGUCAGUUGCCAAUCCUUGAGUUUGAUGAUGUUGUUCUGGCACAGAGUAUGGCCAUCCUGCGAUAUCUGGCCAGAGAGUACGGUUAGUAUAUGUAGGAUGAUUUAUUUCGCAAGUUAAAUAAAUAAGUGGAGAUCAAAAUGCAAACCACUUGUCCUCUAAAAAAUGUUGUUAAAAUUCUGAGUUUUAACUGAGUCAGCCGUUGUCCCGUCUUUGCCAACGUUCUCGCUAACAUGCCAUCAUGGUACAAUAGGGACCUUAAGAUGUAGGACGGCAAAGCGACGACAACGGCCAAAAGGCCCAAAACAAAUUCACCCAAAUAUAUUAUUGUAAUGAAAUCUUAUCGUAUGAAUUUAACACAGCUUGGAGAGAUCAAAACAGAGGCUUUUUAUUGAGUAGAGUUCCACAUUAGUAUACUGGACCAAUUUGCUGAGUAUCCGCCAAGUUAUGUACUAAAAUGCAAAGGUUGUACACAGAACGUAAAAACUCUGGUUCAUUUCGUUGUCGUCACGUUGCCGUCCUAGAUCUUAAGGUCCCUAAUAAACCAAGCGCAACUGCCCUGAUAGGAAGCUCAGAUCACAACACAGUUUUAUGGUACCCAAAAGCCGCAACCAAUAUACAGGGUGUAUAAAAGCUAUACACAGUUGGAAAAAGUUCACUAAAGUCAGAUGCGCGAGACAUUUGCGAAAACGUUCAGUAAGCCUAUGCACUUUAACGCUCUCUGCAUGGUACAUCUAGCACUACUAAAUUAUUUAAAAUGCUAGCGCUUUUAGAGUAGGAAAGCUGUUACUAAAAAGCCCACAAAAAAGGCCUUGCGCAAAAAAUUUUUUCAUCAGAAACAAAAUUUAAUCACACAGAGUCAAAAUAUGGACUGUCUUGCACAAGCUAUCAAAGUUUCAAGAAAUUUGGUGCACGCGUAGUCCAACGCGAGAUCUUCAAAACCUGGAUUUUCUCCCAUUUUGUUAGUUCAAACGCGAUUUCUUUGCAUGAUUUCAAAUUAAUUUUAUGCAUGCUCGGACGUUUGCAUUAAUUACAGUACGAAAUUCAAAAGCCAAUUCCCAAAGGUCCUAAAGUUAUUAACAGCGUUUAUUUACAAAAUUAUUAACAUGUAGUGUUUAUUUACAAAUAAAAUCAAUCUUUAAUAACGUGCUCUCCUACGUUGAAGAUUGAUUUUGUUUGUAAAUAAAUACUGUUUGUAAAUAAUUUUGUGAAAGCACCUUCAGGAAUUGGCUUGCGAAUUUCGUGCUGUAAUUUAUGCGAACAUCCGAGCAUGCAUAAAAUCAAUAUGAAAUCAUGCAAAGAAAUCGCGUUUGAACUAACAAAAUGGGAGAAAAUCCAAGUUUUGAAGAUCUCGCUAUUUGGCCUACGCGUCCACGAAAUUUCUUGAAACUUUGAUAGCUUGUGCAAGACAGUCCAUAUUUUGACUCUGUGUGAUUAAACUUUGUUUCUGAUGAAUAUAUUGUUUUGCGCAAAAUUGCCUUGUACGCCGCUUUCCUCAGUCAAUACCAAUAAAUGCUUUAAUUUAAUCUAUAAAUAAACGCUCAUUAUAAAUUAUGUUUUGACUUGUGCAUCUAUUGAAUACGGAGCUUUAAUCAGAAUUCGGAGUGGUUACUUAUUAGGUAAUUUAUGGUAUUAAAUUUGAUUAUUUUGUAUUAGAUCUAUUUUUCCAAUCAAACAGGGUUUCUUCCAGAAACAAGUCUUGAAAUUGCCAUAGCUGACGGUAUUGUUGAUCAAAUACAGGAUUGUGUCCUUAGAGUUAUCAGGAUGUGGUUUACGAAAGAUCCAAAUGAAAAGGUAAUAAUAAAAUAAGUUUACGAUUUUAUUCAUUGAUUAAAAAUUGACAAUACGGUAUAUACGAG